CCUACGGGGGGCAGCAGUGGGGAAUAUUGGACAAUGGGGGCAACCCUGAUCCAGCCAUGCCGCGUGUGUGAAGAAGGCCCUCGGGUUGUAAAGCACUUUCAGUGAGGAAGAACGCCUGGUGGUUAAUACCCAUCAGGAAAGACAUCACUCACAGAAGAAGCACCGGCUAACUCCGUGCCAGCAGCCGCGGUAAUACGGAGGGUGCGAGCGUUAAUCGGAAUUACUGGGCGUAAAGCGCGCGUAGGUGGCUUGAUAAGCCGGUUGUGAAAGCCCCGGGCUCAACCUGGGAACGGCAUCCGGAACUGUCAAGCUAGAGUGCAGGAGAGGAAGGUAGAAUUCCCGGUGUAGCGGUGAAAUGCGUAGAGAUCGGGAGGAAUACCAGUGGCGAAGGCGGCCUUCUGGACUGACACUGACACUGAGGUGCGAAAGCGUGGGUAGCAAACAGGAUUAGAUACCGUGGUAGUC
rnacentral:rRNA from 1 species